rnacentral:lncRNA from 1 species
GUUCCCCAUUGUGAUUUGUGUUCUCACCUGUUCCCCAUUGUGUGCUCUCACCUGUCUUGCGUUUUUGUGAUUGUCACUUCCCUCUAUUAGCCAGGGUAUAAAUACCUGGCUAAUCUCUGUGGCCCUUAUCGGGUCGUUAGAAGUCUUUCCUCAAGGACACGCAGCCAUCGCAAGCGCUCAGGUGCCGCUAGUCUUAGCUAGUUCCGGUUGGUGUCUUGUUGCGGUUCUCACACCGCUUCUGUUUCUCGUUGCGGUUCCUAACCGCUUUCGGCUUCUUAAAGCCUUCAUCAGGUAGCUAUUGUGAAAGCUACAUUUUGUAUCUUGUUUAGUUUAUGGCCUUUUGCCCUGUUCAUAUCCUCUGUGCUUUUGGAUUAUCUCCUGAGUUUGGAUUAUCUUCUGUGUUUUUCUCGCUAAAAGAACCAUUGAGAACAUCAUCCUGCCAUUGGGUCCUCUCAUUAGCACACUGGGCUAAGCGCUGGUUCCCCACAUCCAGCAUCUCGGAUUCAAUCCCCGAGAAAAGCCUGACAGAACGACCCGAUCAACAUGGACCCAGCAGGUAGUGCCCAACAGGGAUGCAAGAGGUUGGCGCAGACGUUGAAGAAGCUGCUUCAGCGCGAGCAGGUCUUGCUGCAGCUGCAGAAGGAUCUCGACCGCCAGCAGGAGGAUCUAGCUCGUCGCCAGCAACAACGGGACCAACCUCCCCCGUGGUUCCCACUCUAUGAUGGCAAUCCGGGUGGCUGCAGAGGUUUUCUCCUCAAAUUCGAUCUGGAGUGCAGCCGCCGGCCCAUCACCCUCUCCUCCGACCGCUCCAGAAUUGCCUACAUGAUAAUCUUGCUCUCAGGCAAGGCCUUGGCAUUGGCAACCGCUUUGUGGGAGAAGCAAGGUCCCGAGUGCUCCAGCCUCAGGGCUUUUCAGGCGGUGCUGUUGUGGGUCUACGACCGGGUUAGCAUGGACAGCUUCGAGGCCGCCAUUGCCUCUGCUCUGAAGAGAGAUGCUGCCCUUAACCCUGCUCUCCCGGUGACGGCUGCUGCCGUUCCUGAAGCCGCUAACAGUCCCAGUGCACCAAGCAGCCCGGAGGCCGCCAGUCCGGAUGCCGCAGUCUUAGAUGCUGCCAGCCCGGAGGCCGCCAGCCCGGAUGCCCCAGUUCCGGAAGCCAGCAGCCCGGAUGAGCCUGACAGCCUGAAUGCUGCCAGCCCGGAUGAACCAGGCAGCCCGGAUGCCGAAGCCCCAGAUGCCGCCAGCCUGAGUGAGCCAGGUAGGCCGGAGGCCGACAGCCCGGAUGAGCCAAGCAGCCUUGAGGUCGACAGCCCGAAUGCUGCCAGCCCAAGUGAACCAGGUAGCCCGGAUGCCGACGCCCCAGAUGCCGCCAGCCCGAGUGAGCCAGGUAGUCUGGAGGCCGACAGCCCGGAUGAGCCUGACAGCCUGAAUGCUGCCAGCCCGGAUGAACCAGGCAGCCCGGAUGCCGACGCCCCAGAUGCCGCCAGCCCGAGUGAGCCAGGUAGUCUGGAGGCCGACAGUCCGGAUGAGCCAGGCAGCCUUGAGCCUGACAGCCUGUAUGCUGCCAGCCCAAGUGAACCAGGCAGCCCGGAUGCCGACGCCCCAGAUGCCGCCAGCCCGAGUGAGCCAGGUAGUCUGGAGGCCGACAGUCCGGAUGAGCCAGGCAGCCUUGAGCCUGACAGCCUGUAUGCUCCCAGCCCUGGUGAACCAGGCAGCUCUGAUGCUGCCAGCCGCGGCGAACCAGGCAGCCCCGAUGCCUCCAGCCCCGAUGCCUCCAGCCCCGAUGCCUCCAGCCUCGGUGAACCAGGCAGCCCCGAUGCUGCUGCCGACCCGGACUCCGCUGCCGACCCGGACCCCGCAGCCCCGAUGCUGCUGCCGACCCGGACUCCGCUGCCGACCCGGACCCCGCAGCCACCCCCGCUGCCGACCCGGACCCCGCAGCCGCCCCCGCUGCCGACCCGGACCCCGCAGUCUCCGCUGUCGACCCGGCCCCCGCAGUCUCCGCUGCCGACCCGGACCCGGCAGUCUCCGCUGCCGACCCGGACCCCGCAGUCUCCGCUGCCGACCCGGACCCCGCAGCCUCCGCUGCCGACCCGGACCUCGCAGCCUCCGCUCCAGGCGCCCCUGUCCUGAGCGCCCCUGUGCUGAGCGCCCCUGUCCCGAGCACCCCUGGUGCCCCUGUCCAGAGCGCUCCUGUCCUCCUCCCAGGCAUCUGUGUUCCUGCCCCUGUUCCAGGCGUUCCUGCCCCAGGCGCUCCUGGUCCUGUCCCAGGUGUCCCUGUCUCCAGUGUCCUAGGUGCUGCGACUGCCCCAGCCACUAGUCCUGCAACCCCAACCGUCGCUGACCCAGCAACCCCAGCCACAGCUGGUGCUGCAACCCCGACCUCAUCCUCUGACUGCGUCUUCGCGAGCCUGGCCAAGGGGAUGAUUCUUGUUCUCGUCGGUUCCAACAAGGCCCCCAGGCGUCUGUCAGACCCUUCGCCUCAUUCUGGUCGCCCGCCCGGCCACCCACCAGACACUCUGCCCCUGCUUGGCCGCCCGCCCGGCCGCCCACCAGACACUCUGCCCCUGCUUGGCCGCCCGCCCGGCCGCCCACCAGACACUCUGCCCCUGCUUGGCCGCCCACCAGAUACUCGGUCCUGGUUCGGCCGUCCACCUGGCCGGCCACCUGACCCUUGGUUCCUGCCCUCCGGCCUUGUCCUUAACCCCCUCCACCCACCCUUUAUGGACUUUUGGAGUUUUCUUUGGGCCGUCUGGAAGCCGACCCUUAGAGGGGGGGUUCUGUCACGACUUCGGGCAACCAUUUGGCACAUUGGCGGCCUCUGGUGGCCAAAGGACAUCAUGAACUCAUUUGUGUCCACAUGUGCCUUUGUUGUCUUUGUGUGCCCUCACCUGUUCCCCAUUGUGAUUGGUGUUCUCACCUGUUCCCCAUUGUGUGCUCUCACCUGUCUUGCGUUUUUGUGAUUGUCACUUCCCUCUAUUAGCCAGGGUAUAAAUACCUGGCUAAUCUCUGUGGCCCUUAUCGGGUCGUUAGAAGUCUUUCCUCAAGGACACGCAGCCAUCGCAAGCACUUAGGUGCCGCUAGUCUUAGCUAGUUCCGGUUGGUGUCUUGUUGCGGUUCUCACACCGCUUCUGUUUCUCGUUGCGGUUCCUAACCGCUUUCGGCUUCUUAAAGCCUUCAUCAGGUAGCUAUUGUGAAAGCUACAUUUUGUAUCUUGUUUAGUUUAUGGCCUUUUGCCCUGUUCAUAUCCUCUGUGCUUUUGGAUUAUCUUCUGUGUUUGUUUCUCGCUGUUGAAGCAUCCUUGUUUCUCAAUAAAAGAACCAUUGAGAACA